UCGAGGAGUUGGAUGUCCUGCUGUCCUCCUUCCCGGAGGAUGGUAAGCCACUUGUGGUUCUUGGUGAUUUCAACAAACACCAAGACAAGCCCCAGGCCACGGAACUGAAUGCUCUUCUGGCCUCAUUUGUCUUGGAAAGGCUAAGCACCACAGCAACUCAUAGAUCGGGCAACCAGCUGGACCUCAUUUUUACAUGCCAGCACGUUCUACACCACCCAGCCCCUGGCUCUCUGAUGUCCUUCGUGAACAUCGGACUGACCUCAGGGCAUCUGAGAGGAGAUGGCGGAAAUCUAAAGAUCCAGCAGAUCUAGAACAAGCUGCUGGAUGACAAUCAGUCAGGCUUCAAAAAUGGACACUCCACCGAGACUGCCCUGCUGAGUCGCUGAGACAGGCGAAAGCUGAAUCCAGAUCAUGCGUCCUGAUUCUACAGGACCUUUCUGCAUCCUUCGACACAGUCAACCAUCAGAUAUUACUCUCCACCCUCUGUUUGCUGGGCAUCACAGGAACUAUGUUUUCUGGUUUAAUUCCUAUCUCUCAGGUAGGUCCUUCAAGAUAGCCUGGAGAGGUGAGGUGUCCAAGCCACAUCAGCUACUUACUGGGGUACCUCAGGGUUCAAUGCUUGGGCCACUUCUCUUCUCUAUAUACACAACAUCACUGGGACCCAUCAUUCAGGCACAUAGUUUCUCUUACCAUUGCUACGCUGAUGACACGCAACUCUACUUGUCUUUCCACCCCAAUGACACCAAAGUGACUGCUCAAAUCUCUGCCUGCCUGGCAGACAUCUUGGCCUGGUUGAAGGAACACCACCUGCAACUUAACCCAGCCAAGACCGAACUCCUUGUCUUUCUAGCCAACCCUGCUGUUGAACACAACAUCACCGUGCAGCUGGGUGCAACUACAGUAACGCCUUCCAAAACGGUCAGAAAUCUAGGGCUAACCAUCGAUAACAAACUAAAUUUCACAGACCACAUCUCAAAGACCACAAGAUCAUGUAGAUUUACACUCUACAAUAUCAGGAAGAUAAGACCCUUUCUCUCUGAACAUGCCACAUAACUAAUUGUUUAGUCACUUGUCAUAACUAGACUGGACUACUGUAAUGCUCUUGUUGCAGGCCUCCCUGCAUGUGCAAUUAGACCCCUGCAAAUGAUCCAGAAUGCAGCAACACGUCUGGUCUUUAAUCAACCAAAGAGAGCACGUUACACCACUCCUUGUCUCUUCACUGGCUGCCAGUUAAUGCACGUAUCAAGUUCAAGGCUCUGACGCUGGCAUACAAAACAGUCACUGGGUCUGCUCCAGCAUACCUAAAAUCAUUUCUGCAGAACUACGCGCCUACUAGAAGCCUGCGGUCGGCUAAGGAACGUCACCUUGUUGUACCAACACAAAGAGGCACCAAAACACUUUCACGGACCUUCGGCUUCAUCAUACCACGUUGGUGGAAUGACCUUCCCAACUCCAUCCGUGAAGCUGACUCACUCUCUGUCUUCAAUAAAUGGUUAAAAACACAUCUUUUCCAUGAGCAUUUAACCAGUCAAUAAUACAAAUAAAAAAAACACUUUAAUUUGUUUUGAAUGCUAUUCUGAUGCUAGUGAAACAUUGUAAAAUGG